UAUGACGUAAUCUUGUUGAAGGGAGUGUGAACAGGCCAACAUUCCUUUGAAUAUCUCUAUGUGAUUCGUUUUAGACAAAGUAGAUAUAUAGAGAAUUGUGCAGGACGGCAAACUGAUCUUCACAUACAGGGUCGUCAUGUCAACGGUUAUAGAUAUCGACCAGUAUACAAUUCAGGGCUACAAUGACCAUUUCACUAUACCGGAGGUAAACAAACGAUAUAUGGCUAGACUAGAGGUCCAAGUUUGUGGAAAUGAAGGAACCGUGGGGGAUAGAAAAAAAGAGGAAUUACGAAAACUCUUUCAUUCAGCGAUUGACCAGAUACAAAAAGAGAACCUAGAUGUUUGGAAGAAUGCCAGAGUGGUCAUACAGGACAUGUAUGGACAGUCAAUAACUAUUACUGCCGGAAGCGGAGCAUACAAAUUUACUGUUCAGCAUAACAUGAAAGGCGAAAUACUAGUUUACAAAAAGGGAAAUCCUAUGUGCGCAAGAUUCAAGGGUUAUUUUCGGUCACUGUUUUGUUCCACAAAAAGACAACAACUUGCCAUUGAUCAAGCAAGACACGAUUAACUAUCAACGUUAUCGCAUAUAUACAGUUGAUAAUAAAAGCGUGAUGUUAUAUAAUCUGUAAUAUUCAUGAAUGACAUUGCUGAAGAAAGCUUAUUAAAUCUGAAAGAUUAUAUUCA